GACGCACGCUGACGGCGUGCUUAACACAUGCAAGUCGAAGGGAGUGGCGAACGGGUGAGUAACACGUGAGUAACCUGCCCUUUUCUUUGGGAUAAGCCUGGGAAACUGGGUCCAAUACUGGAGUGAUUGGGAUGGGCUCGCGGCUUAGCAGCUUGUUGGUGGGGUGAUGGCGUACCAAGGCUUUGACGGGUAGCCGGCCUGAGAGGGUGGUCGGUCACCCUGGGACUGGGAUACGGCCCAGACUCCGAAGCGGGGCAGAAGUGUGGGAUAUUGCGCAAUGGACGAAAGUCUGAUGCAGCGAGGUCGUGUGGGGGAUGAAGGCCUUCGGGUUGUAAACUCCUUUCGCCUGCGUAAUGGUAGUGGGUAAAGAAGCGCCGGCUAACUACGUGCCAGCAGCCGCGGUAAUUC
rnacentral:rRNA from 1 species